rnacentral:misc_RNA from 1 species
GAUGAAGAACGUAGCGAUAUGCGAUAAGUAGUGUGAAUUGCAGAAUUCAGUGAAUCAUCGAAUCUUUGAACGCACAUUGCGCCCUUUGGUAUUCCUUAGGGCAUGCCUGUUCGAGCGUCAUUUAAACCUUCAAGCUAAGCUUGGUGUUGGGUGACUGUCCGCUUCACGGCGGACUCGCCUCAAAAUUAUUGGCGGCCGGUACAUUGGCUUCGAGCGCAGCAGAAACGCGAACUCGGGCCCGUCGUAUUGGCUCCCAGAAGCUAUCUUCACAAUUUUGACCUCGGAUCAGGUAGGGAUACCCGCUGAACUUAAGCAUAUCAAUAAGCGGAGGA